rnacentral:rRNA from 1 species
GACGAACGCUGGCGGCGUGCCUAAUACAUGCAAGUAGAACGCUGAAGGAGGAGCUUGCUUCUCUGGAUGAGUUGCGAACGGGUGAGUAACGCGUAGGUAACCUGCCUGGUAGCGGGGGAUAACUAUUGGAAACGAUAGCUAAUACCGCAUAAGAGUAGAUGUUGCAUGACAUUUGCUUAAAAGGUGCAAUUGCAUCACUACCAGAUGGACCUGCGUUGUAUUAGCUAGUUGGUGAGGUAACGGCUCACCAAGGCAACGAUACAUAGCCGACCUGAGAGGGUGAUCGGCCACACUGGGACUGGGACACGGCCCAGACUCCUACGGGAGGCAGCAGUAGGGAAUCUGCGGCAAUGGACGGAAGUCUGACCGAGCAACGCCGCGUGAGUGAAGAAGGUUUUCGGAUCGUAAAGCUCUGUUGUAAGAGAAGAACGAGUGUGAGAGUGGAAAGUUCACACUGUGACGGUAUCUUACCAGAAAGGGACGGCUAACUACGUG